GACGAACCGUGCGAACGUUAUUCGGAAUCAUUGGGCUUAAAGCGCGUGUAGGCGGAUUCGUGCGUCUGUCGCUGAAAUCCCCCGGCUCAACCGGGGAACGGGCGCGGAUACGACGAGUCUGGAGGGGCAUAGGGGGACCUGGAACUUCCGGUGGAGCGGUGAAAUGCGUUGAGAUCGGAAGGAACGCCCGUGGCGAAAGCGAGGUCCUGGAUGCCUACUGACACUGAGACGCGAAAGCCAGGGGAGCGAACGGG
rnacentral:rRNA from 1 species